UUAUGAAUANCCGACGUNCUACUUAACUUGGACUCCGAACUCUCACUUUCUAACCCUGUGCACUUGUUUGGGAUAGUAACUCUCGCAAGAGAGCGAACUCCUAUUCACUUAUAAACACAAAGUCUAUGAAUGNAUUAAAUUUUAUAACAAAAUAAAACUUUCAACAACGGAUCUCUUGGCUCUCGCAUCGAUGAANAACGCAGCGAAAUGCGAUAAGUAAUGUGAAUUGCAGAAUUCAGUGAAUCAUCGAAUCUUUGAACGCACCUUGCGCUCCAUGGUAUUCCGUGGAGCAUGCCUGUUUGAGUGUCAUGAAUACUUCAACCCUCCUCUUUCUUAAUGAUUGAAGAGGUGUUUGGUUUCUGAGCGCUGCUGGCCUUUACGGUCUAGCUCGUUCGUAAUGCAUUAGCAUCCGCAAUCGAACUUCGGAUUGACUUGGCGUAAUAGACUAUUCGCUGAGGAAUUCUAGUCUUCGGACUAGAGCCGGGUUGGGUUAAAGGAAGCUUCUAAUCAGAAUGUCUACAUUUUAAGAUUAGAUCUCAAAUCAGGUAGGACUACCCGCUUGAACUUAAGCAUAUCAAUAAGCNGAGGAA
rnacentral:rRNA from 1 species